UAGGGAAUCUUCGGCAAUGGGGGCAACCCUGACCGAGCAACGCCGCGUGAGUGAAGAAGGUUUUCGGAUCGUAAAGCUCUGUUGUAAGAGAAGAACGUGUGUGAGAGUGGAAAGUUCACACAGUGACGGUAACUUACCAGAAAGGGACGGCUAACUACGUGCCAGCAGCCGCGGUAAUACGUAGGUCCCGAGCGUUGUCCGGAUUUAUUGGGCGUAAAGCGAGCGCAGGCGGUUUAAUAAGUCUGAAGUUAAAGGCAGUGGCUUAACCAUUGUUCGCUUUGGAAACUGUUAAACUUGAGUGCAGAAGGGGAGAGUGGAAUUCCAUGUGUAGCGGUGAAAUGCGUAGAUAUAUGGAGGAACACCGGUGGCGAAAGCGGCUCUCUGGUCUGUAACUGACGCUGAGGCUCGAAAGCGUGGGGAGCAAAGAGG
rnacentral:rRNA from 1 species